UUACGGUCAUAUCAUAUUGAAACACAGGUUCUCAUACGAUCACCGAAGUUAAGCAACGUCGAGCCUGAUCAGUACCUAGAUGUAUGACCACUUAGGAAUACUAGGUGCCGUAA